CCAAUAGCGUAUAUUAAAGUUGUUGCAGUUAAAAAGCUCGUAGUUGAACUUCGGGGUUUACUCAUUGGUCAGGCUUAAUUGUCUGUACUGGUGAGAUGAAUCUCUACCUUCUGAGGAACUUUCAUGCCAUUUAUUUGGUGUGAUUGGAAAUCAGGACUGUUACUUUGAAAAAAUUAGAGUGUUUAAAGCAGGCUAACGUCUGAAUACAUUAGCAUGGAAUAAUGAAAUAGGACGGAUUGAUUCUAUUUCGUUGGUUUCUAGGGUCACCGUAAUGAUUAAUAGGGAUAGUUGGGGGCAUUAGUAUUCAAUUGUCAGAGGUGAAAUUCUUGGAUUUAUUGAAGACUAACUACUGCGAAAGCAUUUGCCAAGGAUGUUUUCAUUAAUCGAGAACGAAAGUUAGGGGAUCGAAGACGAUCAGAUACCGUCGUAGUCUUAACCAUAAACUAUGCCGACUAGGGAUCGGACGCAGUUAAUUUUAUAAUGACGUGUUCGGCACCUUACG
rnacentral:rRNA from 1 species